AGCCCAUGUAGCUGAGGCCAAAGUGAAAAUCCAGAACUGUUGGAUACACUUGGUAGAUGCACCAUCUGGUAUCUCUUGUUCCUUUUCUAACCAUCCUGUUACAGAAAAGCAAAUAAGACUGGCAACACGAGUGCUGGGAAGACAGACUUUGAACUGAGGAGACUGGUCCCAGGCUGAGAAGGAAAUUCAGGAACAAUAACAUGCCUGCAACAUCCAGUGGGUUUCAGAAAGAGACAUCUCUUGAAUUGCAGCUGCAAAGUGAACAGAAGUGGCUUUAAAUCCAAAAGGAUUUCCUAAAAAGCCAUCUGGAUCAGGAAGACACAGCACACCGAAGAAGACGGAAAACGGUUGGUAGGAAGCAAUGUUUAUACAACAAAAGGAUUUGUGGCAAAAUAAAGCCUAGCCAGUGCAUACCAAUCCCCAGCUUCUCGUAGGAGUUAUUGUAUGAAACGGGUGAGAAGUGGAAGUGGAGCUAAGCACAUGAGAAGCAAUGAGUUUUUCAAUUAAAGAGUACCUAGAGCAAUCACUACCCAUGUGUCAAAUAGCGUAUGUAGGAUUUUUGUUUUCGAUAUUGUUGGUUAGAUUAACUCUAGCAACUUUCCUUUGCGCUUUUUGUGCUUACACUAGGAUUUUGUCAGAUACUGUAUCAAAAGGUUUUAAGUUACCUGGCUGGAGGAUAAAAUUGAACAGACGUGGAUGGAAUGCUCUGAUCUGGUGCAUACAGGGCAACAUUUGGAAGUCAUCUCUGCUUGAGUCUAGUGCCUCCCUGGGGAUACUUGGAGAUAUUUUGGACCCUGUAUCUUCCUGUCCAUAAGGUUGUGCUACUAGUAUGUAAUACUCUUGAAUGUCCAGGUACUAUUGGAUAAUCAUGUCUAAGUGUCUAAGAAGACUACCUCCCACCCCCACAUUUUUAUAUGGCCUGGAGACUGAUGGCUUUGUUGCUAUAAUCUAGCCUUAAAUUACUACAAAAGACUAUAUUUGGGACCACAUUUCAAAUAAACAAAGCAUCUGGAAUUGAUGCAGAAUAUAGCAGGUCUCAUAUCACCUGGUGUAUCUUUUCAUAGUUGUGGUCAGCAGAAGCACUCCAACUGAAGUCCCCUUGGUAUGAAAGAGGGAGCUGCUGGAAGGGAUCCUCCUAUGAAGAACCCUCACUUUUGGGACAUGCUAUCCACAUUGGUCCAAAAAUUGCCUAACGGUGUUGACUUUCAGGGAACAUUGCAAAGCUAAUCUUUUUACCCAGGGAGCAAUGUGAUGAGGGCUGGCAUUUGUGACUGAGGCAGGGUCUUGUUGCCAUUUUCAUGAGGAGAAACUCCUGGUUUUCUUUCUUUGCAUUGUAUUUUUAACCAUGUUAAAGAUGACUAAAGCUCUGGAUGGGCAUUUUUAAAAUGGGUUAUAAAUGUACAUAAACAAAAAGCCUGAGAUGUCUCAUAGUUUUGGAUGAGAAUGCCACACUUGGGUCUGAGACACUCUGUUUAUUAAUUCAAACCUUGUUUUAACCACAAGCAUUCCUUGUGAUUACAAUUCUUAUUAAAGUAAGAAAUGAAAGAGAAAAAAGCAGUGGCCUGUUACCUUCUCCUGGAGAUAGGUGGGUCAUGAUGGAGCUUCAUAGGAGAAAUCCAACUGUCUCUUACAACCUUCCACAUA